AUUACACAGCCUCAACCCAUUCUCUUUCACCCACUAUAGGGCAUCAGGUGGUUCUGCUUAAUCUCCACCUGAAUGAGAGUGAGACUGCAAGUACUCCCAGCUGCUCUUCAGUAAAUAUUGAUUCAUGAUCAGACAGGAGGCCAACUUGUAUGGUCAGCUUGGGAUACUGGAGGAAAAACUGACCACAUAAUGUAAAGAAAGGCAGGAGUGAAGGAGUCAGAUGGAAAUAGGUCCCGAUCUUCAGAACCAAAGCCAUGCAAACCGUUUGUUUGAUUUCAGAGCCAUACACAAGUGAUUCCGUGUUGAUGCCAAAGUGACUUAGAUUUCAACCAAGAUGGAAGAAGAAGACAAUCAAACAGAGAGGCCCUCCAGACCACAAACACAAACAUUCCAAAUUCAACAAAGAAAAAAGAAGAAAAAAGGUAGCAGCAACAGAACAGACAUGUGGUCAAAAUUUCUCUCCCUCUUCGCAUGUGGUGUUCGAAGAUCAAAGAAAAAACACAGGUUCUACUACCGUAAGGGCACAGAGGGUACGGACCAGGACCCCCCAGGGAGUGACCUAGAAUGGGACUACUCUGAGGGCUGUUUUCACUUUCAGGGGUGUGACCGCAUGACACGCAUGUCCUGGACCAGCCUGGACAGUAACCCGUCUCUGCACUUGGACUUUCACAAUAAAGUGUUACUGUCUGACUGGAAUGAAAAGCCAGCUUGAAGUAGUGAAAUGUUAUAUUUUGAUGGUACUGGUUAAUGUUAUGGUCUUAAAUACAACAGUGAAUACAGAAUGUGUUGGCAUCUCUAUUUCUCUACUACAGUGGUCCAGCAUGUCAAAGUGAAUAUGAAUGCAGAAUGGUAUUGGAAAUUGCUUUUUUUUUUAAAGUUUAUAUUUUAUUACAUUAUGAAUGCAUUACUUUUAUCAAUAUUAGAUAGAGCUAUUCUUUCAACUCGGGGAAAAGUAUACCAGCCUGUAAUACAUUAUGCUGUAUCACCUUAGACUGAACACAAAGAUGCAACUGAGGCUGGAUGUGAGUUUAGUAGCCAUAUUGAAUGCUGGAGAUGUUUCUUUAAUACAUGUGCAGUACAUGUACAUUGUUACUGUCAGUAAUAUAGAUAAAGUGAAAGAACAUAACAUGUCAUUAGCACAGAAAAUCUCAGGCUUAGCAGCUGGCCGUGUCAAGCAUAGGGGCUCCAUUUUGAUGACUCUCUAAUGUAAUGGCAAGGCUACAGUAUAUUAAAUUUUCAAUAUCUCAAAAAGGUGCUAGAGAGAAAAGAUUUGAGAAGGGCCCCAGAAAGGGCUUAUUAAGAUAUUAAGACUUUAACAAUUUCUGCAUGAAGACGAAGCAAAAAAGCUUCUAUUCUGGAAAGGUGCUACAUACUGUAUAUGUAUUUCAUCCUGACUUUACAGUAAGCUGCAGCUUAGAGCCUGAGCCAGAUAAACAGUUUUUUCCUAACUUUUAAUUACCAAUAUCUGUUCUAUUAUAAAUUUUAAUGGAUUAAAGACAGGGGAAAACAUUCCAUAAUAUUUCAAUAAAAAUAUUUUCAUGGUUUCCAAGACAGAUUUGCAAUAUUUUUAUACUGCAAGAGGUACUUUCUAGUCUCUGAAUAUUUUUUUCUAAUACAGAAAGCAGAGUACAUUGGAUCUUGGUACUUAAUGCGGAUAAAAGGUAAAAAUGCUAUUGUAAAUUGUGAUAAACUGGCCUAUUCAUUAAAGGCAUGCAUCUUUUGCACUGAUUAUAAACAAAACCUUUCUACGAAGAAGACAAAUUAGCAUAUUUGGAAUACUUAAAAAGACUACGUAAACACAAUGUAAAUCCCAACCAAAAAAUAAUAAAAGUGAAAAAAAGCAGCAACGUGUGUCAUCAUUUUCUG
rnacentral:lncRNA from 1 species